GAAGGAAGGCCCUUCGGAGCCGGCCUGCAGGGGCAGGUUCCAAACCGCCACGAGUUGCGCGGGUAAAGAGUCCGCGUGGUGAGCGUCGAUGGAAAAGGCAGAGUUCGACUCUGUCAGGU
rnacentral:ncRNA from 1 species